GACGAACGCUGGCGGCGUGCUUAACACAUGCAAGUCGAACGGAAAGGCCCUGCAUUUGUGGGGUGCUCGAGUGGCGAACGGGUGAGUAACACGUGAGUAACCUGCCCUUGACUUUGGGAUAACUUCAGGAAACUGGGGCUAAUACCGGAUAGGAGCUCCUGCUGCAUGGUGGGGGUUGGAAAGUUUCGGCGGUUGGGGAUGGACUCGCGGCUUAUCAGCUUGUUGGUGGGGUAGUGGCUUACCAAGGCUUUGACGGGUAGCCGGCCUGAGAGGGUGCCCGGCCACAUUGGAACUGAGAUACGGCCCAGACUCCUACGGGAAGCAGCAGUGGGGAAUAUUGCACAAUGGGCGGAAGCCUGAUGCAGCAACGCCGCGUGCGGGAUGACGGCCUUCGGGUUGUAAACCGCUUUCGCCUGUGACGAAGCGUGAGUGACGGUAAUGGGUAAAGAAGCACCGGCUAACUACGUG
rnacentral:rRNA from 1 species